UGUUGAUGAUAUGGACAGUCCCAAAAAAAAUCUUUGAACCUCUCCCAUUCAUAAUAUAAAUUCUCACCUGGCUUCUGUUUAAAGCAUAAAUCUCACUAGGCAGUUU
rfam:Capsicum annuum cultivar Zunla-1 chromosome 1, whole genome shotgun sequence